UACGGAAGGCAGCAGUGGGGAAUAUUGCACAAUGGGCGCAAGCCUGAUGUAGCCAUGCCGCGUGUAUGAAGAAGGCCUUCGGGUUGUAAAGUACUUUCAGUCGUGAGGAAGGUGUUAAGGUUAAUAACCUUAGCAAUUGACGUUAGCGACAGAAGAAGCACCGGCUAACUCCGUGCCAGCAGCCGCGGUAAUACGGAGGGUGCGAGCGUUAAUCGGAAUUACUGGGCGUAAAGGGCACGCAGGCGGUUAAUUAAGUUGGAUGUGAAAUCCCCGGGCUUAACCUGGGAAUGGCAUUCAAGACUGGUUAGCUAGAGUCUUGUAGAGGGGGUAGAAUUCCAUGUGUAGCGGUGAAAUGCGUAGAGAUGUGGAGGAAUACCGGUGGCGAAGGCGGCCCCCUGGACAAAGACUGACGCUCAUGUGCGAAAGCGUGGGGAGCAAACGAGGGAUUUAGAUACC
rnacentral:rRNA from 1 species